CGGCACGGGUGAGUAACACGUAUCCAACCUGCCGUCUACUCUUGGACAGCCUUCUGAAAGGAAGAUUAAUACAAGAUGGCAUCAUGAGUCCGCAUGUUCACAUGAUUAAAGGUAUUCCGGUAGACGAUGGGGAUGCGUUCCAUAGAUAGUAGGCGGGGUAACGGCCCACCUAGUCUUCGAUGGAUAGGGGUUCUGAGAGGAAGGUCCCCCACAUUGGAACUGAGACACGGUCCAA
rnacentral:rRNA from 1 species